UUUUGCGACGUGUCAACCGUAUUUGUAUUGUUUAUUCUUCUUUCCUUAGCAUCCUUACAAAGAAUCGCGUCAGCAUUGCCCAGGAGCCUGUCGAGAAUCAUUCCACGUACCUCGUGGACGCCAUGCCUGAUGUACUAUGCAAACCUAUCCAGGAACCGCCGGCCGGAAUGAAGGCAAUAUUCGGUGGAUUGCUAAUCGUGAUUGCUGGAUUCCAGGGAACCGUCGACGGUGAUCCUAAAGCACCACCUGGAUAAUUGGAAGUUAAUGGAGAUGGCUCUUGGAAGCCUCCGCCAGGAAGAUAUGUGGCAGUGCUGGAAAGAGCAAGCAUAGCUUCCAUGACGACGUGGAGCAGUUCUUCAGAGACCUCGCUCUACAGGUUGCUGCGAAGCGAAGGAUGUUCACUUGUACCUCCAGGGGCCAUGCCACUAGCCCCUGGAGGUGCUGCAACUUAUACCUUGCAACAAGCCUUCAUCAGUGUCCACCGGCGCUUGGACGCCUUGUUGGUGCCAAAU